rnacentral:rRNA from 1 species
AGUGAACGCUGGCGGUAGGCCUAACACAUGCAAGUCGAACGGCAGCACAGUAAGAGCUUGCUCUUACGGGUGGCGAGUGGCGGACAGGUGAGGAAUACAUCGGAAUCUACUUUUUCGUGGGGGAUAACGUAGGGAAACUUACGCUAAUACCGCAUACGACCUACGGGUGAAAGCAGGGGAUCUUCGGACCUUGCGCGAUUGAAUGAGCCGAUGUCGGGUUAGCUAGUUGGCGGGGUAAAGGCCCACCAAGGCGACGAUCCGUAGCUGGUCUGAGAGGAUGAUCAGCCACACUGGAACUGAGACACGGUCCAGACUCCUACGGGAGGCAGCAGUGGGGAAUAUUGGACAAUGGGCGCAAGCCUGAUCCAGCCAUACCGCGUGGGUGAAGAAGGCCUUCGGGUUGUAAAGCCCUUUUGUUGGGAAAGAAAAGCAGCAGGUUAAUACCCCGCUGUUCUGACGGUACCCAAAGAAUAAGCACCGGCUAACUUCGUG